rnacentral:rRNA from 1 species
GUGGGGAAUCUUGCACAAUGGGGGAAACCCUGAUGCAGCGACGCCGCGUGAACGAUGAAGCCCUUCGGGGUGUAAAGUUCUUUCGACAGGAACGAUAAUGACGGUACCUGGAGAAGAAGCUGCGGCUAACUACGUGCCAGCAGCCGCGGUAAUACGUAGGCAGCGAGCGUUGUUCGGAGUUACUGGGCGUAAAGAGUGCGUAGGCGGCGAGCCAAGUUUGGUGUGAAAUCUCCCGGCUUAACCGGGAGGGUGCGCCGAAAACUGGUUGGCUGGAGUAUGGGAGAGGAAAGCGGAAUUCCUGGUGUAGCGGUGAAAUGCGUAGAUAUCAGGAGGAACACCUGCGGUGUAGACAGCUUUCUGGACCAAAACUGACGCUGAGGCACGAAAGCGUGGGUAACAAACA